rnacentral:rRNA from 1 species
CAAUAGCGUAUAUUAAAGUUGUUGCAGUUAAAAAGCUCGUAGUUGAAAUUCUGGUUGCUAAGGCCUGUUGUCUUCGGACGGAGGUUCUUACAGCCAUCCGCUUGUAAAUAUAUGUACACUCUUCGCUGAGUGGCUAUAUGAGCAAGCAUUUUACCUUGAGAAAAACAGAGUGUUCCAGGCAGGCUUGUCCGGAAUGCAUUAGCAUGGAAUAAUAGAAUAUGACUGAGGUCUAUUUAUUGGUUUAAGGCCACAGUAAUGAUUAAUAGGAACAGUCGGGGGCAUUAGUACUUGACAGUCAGAGGUGAAAUUCUUGGAUUUGUCAAAGACUAACUGAUGCGAAAGCGUUUGUCAAGGAUGUUUUCAUUAA